UACGUAGGGUGCAAGCGUUAAUCGGAAUUACUGGGCGUAAAGCGUGCGCAGGCGGCUUUGCAAGACAGAUGUGAAAUCCCCGGGCUUAACCUGGGAACUGCAUUUGUGGCUGCAUGGCUGGAGUGCGGCAGAGGGGGAUGGAAUUCCGCGUGUAGCAGUGAAAUGCGUAGAUAUGCGGAGGAACACCGAUGGCGAAGGCAGCCCCCUGGGCUAACACUGACGCUCAUGCACGAAAGCGUGGGGAGCAAACAGG
rnacentral:rRNA from 1 species